rnacentral:tRNA from 1 species
UUCCCAAUGGUCCAGUGUUUAAGACUCUGCUUCCACUGCAGGGAAUGCAGGUUCAAUUCCUGGUUGGGGAA